ensembl:snRNA U6 U6 spliceosomal RNA
GUGCUCGCUUUGACAGUACAUACACUAAAAUUGGAAUGAUACAAAAAUUAGCAUGGCCCCUGCAGAAGGAUGACAGGAAAAUUCAUGAAGUGUUCCAUAUUUGU